AGGAUGGGAGUACAGAUAUAGAUGAUCAGAGUCCAGGAACAAGCUUGGUUAAGAGGCCCUCACAGAAGAAGAAAAGACAAAAACGGACCAAGGCUAUGGGGGCAAUGGAGCGAACCAUAGUGAAGGCGAAGAGACCGUGGAGUGAAGUAGAGAGGAGUGCGGUAAAGAAACACUUGGCAAAGUUUAUUAAAGAGCGUCAAGUUCCUGGAAAAGAACCCUGCAUGCAAUGUG